AGUCCGACGAUACAGGGUGAUAGUCCCGUAGUUGACGACGUGUGUUCAGUGAAAUCGAGUAGGGCGGGACACGUGAUAUCCUGUCUGAAUAUGGGGGGACCAUCCUCCAAGGCUAAAUACUACUGACUGACCGAUAGUGAACCAGUACCGUGAGGGAAAGGCGAAAAGAACCCCUGUGAGGGGAGUGAAAUAGAACCUGAAACCGUGUACGUACAAGCAGUAGGAGCAGGCUUUGUCCUGUGACUGCGUACCUUUUGUAUAAUGGGUCAGCGACUUAUAUUCAGUGGCAAGGUUAACCAUCUAGGGGAGCCGUAGGGAAACCGAGUCUUAACUGGGCGUUCAGUCUCUGGAUAUAGACCCGAAACCAGGUGAUCUAGCCAUGGGCAGGUUGAAGGUUGAGUAACAUCAACUGGAGGACCGAACCGACUAAUGUUGAAAAAUUAGCGGAUGACUUGUGGCUAGGGGUGAAAGGCCAAUCAAACCUGGAGAUAGCUGGUUCUCCCCGAAAGCUAUUUAGGUAGCGCCUCGGACGAAUACUACUGGGGGUAGAGCACUGUUAAGGCUAGGGGGUCAUCCCGACUUACCAACCCUUUGCAAACUCCGAAUACCAGUAAGUACUAUCCGGGAGACACACGGCGGGUGCUAACGUCCGUCGUGGAGAGGGAAACAACCCAGACCGCCAGCUAAGGUCCCAAAUUACUACUAAGUGGGAAACGAUGUGGGAAGGCUCAGACAGCCAGGAUGUUGGCUUAGAAGCAGCCAUCAUUUAAAGAAAGCGUAAUAGCUCACUGGUCGAGUCGGCCUGCGCGGAAGAUGUAACGGGGCUAAGUAGUAAACCGAAGCUGCGGCAAUGUGCUUUUGCACAUUGGGUAGGGGAGCGUUCUGUAAGCGGUUGAAGGUGUGUGGUAACGCAUGCUGGACGUAUCAGAAGUGCGAAUGCUGACAUGAGUAACGAUAAAGGGGGUGAAAAACCUCCUCGCCGGAAGACCAAGGGUUCCUGUCCAACGUUAAUCGGGGCAGGGUAAGUCGACCCCUAAGGCGAGGCCGAAAGGCGUAGUCGAUGGGAAACGGGUUAAUAUUCCCGUACUUCUUACAAUUGCGAUGGGGGGACGGAGAAGGCUAGGUGGGCCUGGCGACGGUUGUCCAGGUUCAAGUGCGUAGGCUGAAGAGUUAGGUAAAUCCGGCUCUUUUUAAGGCUGAGACACGACGUCGAGCACCUACGGGUGUGAAGUCAUUGAUGCCAUGCUUCCAGGAAAAGCCUCUAAGCUUCAGAUUGUAAGGAAUCGUACCCCAAACCGACACAGGUGGUCGGGUAGAGAAUACCAAGGCGCUUGAGAGAACUCGGGUGAAGGAACUAGGCAAAAUGGUACCGUAACUUCGGGAGAAGGUACGCUCUCGACGGUGAAGUCCCUUGCGGAUGGAGCUAUUGAGAGUCGCAGAUACCAGGUGGCUGCAACUGUUUAUUAAAAACACAGCACUGUGCAAAAUCGUAAGAUGACGUAUACGGUGUGACGCCUGCCCGGUGCCGGAAGGUUAAUUGAUGGGGUUAGACUUCGGUCGAAGCUCUUGAUCGAAGCCCCGGUAAACGGCGGCCGUAACUAUAACGGUCCUAAGGUAGCGAAAUUCCUUGUCGGGUAAGUUCCGACCUGCACGAAUGGCGUAAUGAUGGCCACGCUGUCUCCACCCGAGACUCAGUGAAAUUGAAAUCGCUGUGAAGAUGCAGUGUACCCGCGGCUAGACGGAAAGACCCCGUGAACCUUUACUACAGCUUGGCACUGAACAUUGACCCUACAUGUGUAG
rnacentral:rRNA from 1 species